rnacentral:rRNA from 1 species
GAUGAACGCUGGCGGCGUGCCUAAUACAUGCAAGUAGAACGCUGAAGGAAGGAGCUUGCUCUUUCCGGAUGAGUUGCGAACGGGUGAGUAACGCGUAGGUAACCUGCCUGGUAGCGGGGGAUAACUAUUGGAAACGAUAGCUAAUACCGCAUAACAGUAGAUGUUGCAUGAUAUCUACUUAAAAGGUGCAAUUGCACCACUACCAGAUGGACCUGCGUUGUAUUAGCUAGUUGGUGAGGUAACGGCUCACCAAGGCGACGAUACAUAGCCGACCUGAGAGGGUGAUCGGCCACACUGGGACUGAGACACGGCCCAGACUCCUACGGGAGGCAGCAGUAGGGAAUCUUCGGCAAUGGACGGAAGUCUGACCGAGCAACGCCGCGUGAGUGAAGAAGGUUUUCGGAUCGUAAAGCUCUGUUGUAAGAGAGGAACGAGUGUGAGAGUGGAAAGUUCACACUGUGACGGUAUCUUACCAGAAAGAGACGGCUAACUACGUG